UACGGAAGGCAGCAGUGGGGAAUAUUGCACAAUGGGCGCAAGCCUGAUGCAGCCAUGCCGCGUGUAUGAAAAAGGCCUUCGGGUUGUAAAGUACUUUCAGUCGUGAGGAAGGUGUUAAGGUUAAUAACCUUAGCAAUUGACGUUAGCGACAGAAGAAGCACCGGCUAACUCCGUGCCAGCAGCCGCGGUAAUACGGAGGGUGCGAGCGUUAAUCGGAAUUACUGGGCGUAAAGGGCACGCAGGCGGUUAAUUAAGUUGGAUGUGAAAUCCCCGGGCUUAACCUGGGAAUGGCAUUCAAGACUGGUUAGCUAGAGUCUUGUAGAGGGGGUAGAAUUCCAUGUGUAGCGGUGAAAUGCGUAGAGAUGUGGAGGAAUACCGGUGGCGAAGGCGGCCCCUGGACAAGACUGACGCUCAUGUGCGAAAGCGUGGGGAGCAAACGAGGAUUAGAUACCCGU
rnacentral:rRNA from 1 species